rnacentral:rRNA from 1 species
UACGUAGGUGACAAGCGUUGUCCGGAUUUACUGGGCGUAAAGAGCGCGCAGGCGGUCGUUCAAGUCGAGUGUGAAAGCCCCCGGCUCAACUGGGGAGGGUCAUUCGAUACUGAUCGACUCGAAGGCAGGAGAGGGUAGUGGAAUUCCCGGUGUAGUGGUGAAAUGCGUAGAUAUCGGGAGGAACACCAGUGGCGAAGGCGACUACCCGGCCUGUUCUUGACGCUGAGGCGCGAAAGCUAGGGGAGCAAACGGG